UUUUUUUUAACAAAACCUACUUUUCCCCCCCAAAAAAAUAACUCCUUAAUACAAAGUCUGCAUUAAGUGCUACACAUACCUAUUGUGCUGGUAAAUAAUUUUAGAACUUGAGAACAUUCAUGAGAAAAUUCAACCUGGAGGGUAAUUUUCCUGAAGUUUCUGCUUGGCAAAUGAAAAUAGUGUUUUCAACAGAUGAAUAUCCCUCCCUGUAAUUGUUAUUCUGUUAACCAUCAUGUAAAUGGGUGUUUUACCCAACUGCAGCUUGAAACCUACCUACUGGAAAUAAAGAAAUCAAACCAACCUGCACAGGACAGGGCAGAGCAGCACUAACAACAUGUAAGCACAGGUUUCUAAAUCAUAAAAAACCCCAAAGUUGUUGCAUAAUUUAUUCCCUUUCCUCCCUGUUUCACAGAUGAAGAUAGCAGCACCAGGAGAUAACUGAAAGAUUUCUUUUGCCUUUAGCUCAGUAAUUUACAAGUCUUCAGGUUUUGGGGGUUUGUUGUUUUUUUGCUGGGAAAAUUCUGUGGAAAUACCACUUCUCUGCAUUCCCAGUCUACAAAGUUUGCUUGACAGAGACACAUGCCCACCAAACACCAUGAAGAUUUACAGUAAGUGGUGACUAAUCUCCACAGCGUACACUGUAUGUGGAUCACUGAGUCAGCCUGAAAGUUGGUUCAUUCACUCCAACACCGCUUCUUCCAUUCUCCUCUCUCUCUGAUCUGCAGGCAUAUCUGAGAUCUGCCUUCCCUUCAUUCAAGAAGAGCUUCUUAUUGCCUUAAUAGGCAAUAGGUGCAGGUACAAAAACUUACUGCUAUCGGACAGGAUUGACCUAAAAAACACAGGCUUGCCUAGACAACAGCGAAAAACAACCCCAAAAAAUACCAAAUAGAAGGACAAAAAGAAAGCCCUACAUAAAAAGCCCUACGUUUAUUGUUCAGCAAGAAACUCCCACGUGUGCAAGGAAGGAGCCCCACUGGAAGGGACUCUCUAGGGGGCAUAUGCUACUGCGAAAACUUCCCAGCUCCACCAUUUUACAAGGGCAUGUAGUGGUAAGACAAGGGGAAAGGCUUUAACCUGCCAGAGGGGAGACUGAGAUGAGCUCUUAGGCAGAAGCUCUUCCCUGUGAGGGUGCUGAGGCGCUGGCACAGGGUGCCCAGAGAAGCUGUGGCUGCCCCAUCCCUGGCAGUGUUCAAGGCCAGGUUGGACACGGGGGCUUGGAGCAACCUGCUCUAGUGGAAGGUGUCCCUGCCCGUGGCAGGGGUUGGAGCUGGAUGAGUUUAAGUUCCUUUCCAACCCAAACCAGGCUGGGAUUCCAUGAUUUGGCAAUCUGAUUGUACAAAGCCUGUGAGAAAUGCCCAAUUUAAGUGAUCUGGUUUAGUGACAACAAAAGCAGUAGCAGAAACAACACAGGCACAUACUAUCGAUAGCUGGAAU
rnacentral:lncRNA from 1 species